ensembl:lncRNA
CCCUCCCUCCAUCCUCCCCGCUCUCCAAUAAAGAGCAUUAAAAGUUCAUGUUUGUUUCCAUCUCAAUUCCCCCGUUCUCCCUGCCGACCCGUGAGGCUCCUCCUGCGUUUAUCUCCAUCUCGCUGCCUGUCAGGUUUUACCUCCUUCCUCUGGCUGCUGUCUGGCUCCAGUCUCCCCCCUUUUCUUUUUUUCACUCCUGUGUUUAUGUCCCACAGUAACGUAGGAAAUAAGGAGAGGAGGGGAGAGGACGCGAGAGAAAGAGAGAUGGAAAAUAGCAGGAAGAUGCGUGAAAUCUGCUGUAUGUUUAGCGCGUUUACUUUCCCAUCUUGCACUUUUCCGUCUAUACUUUUUGUGCAGUUAGCAGAUAUGAGCGGACUGCACACUAUCGAUGCCGUAUAACGGAACACAGAAGCCAUGUGGGCUACGUGUCAGCCUAAAGUACAGAUUGUUAAAUGCAUGAUCCUGGGCAACACAAAAGCAAGUAAACUACUCAACAUGAAUUCAUGUGAAGGCCUUGAUGGCCCCCGAUGCUGAACACACCCGAAGACCAUAAAAACCAUUCGGAUAUAUGGAUCAUGAAACACGACAUCGGUAGCAACAACAACGCUCAAUGAAUCAGUAUAAACUCCUGAGAUAGACAGCACCGCUAUAAAUGCAUCUAACGUAGAGAUGGAAGGAGGAAGCUGUGAACACAUGGUUAUUUUCUUUCUGUUUUUAUUCAUGACACACACACUCAACACAUAUGUCAUCUGUGCGUCAGUGACUGUUCGGAUCCCGCAGCGUUACAGCGCAUGUGCAUCAAGAGCAGUGGAUCUCUCAUUUCCUGUUCUUUAUUAAAGAACCAUUACAUUAUUGACCCACGUAAGAGAAUCUAUUCUUUCUGUGGUACAGACGUUCUAGUUUUCCUUUUGUUAUUCUCUCUCACUUGUUACCCAUUGUAACUCAUCCUCUCCUCGACGCUCUGAUGUGUAAUAAAAACCCCAGAGCUUUCAAACUCAUGUUUGCUGUUUUGGCACAUAACGUUUCUCCGUUUUGCUGACUUUAUUAUUUUUAAAUGAACCCAGACGUCUUAAGAUGUUCAUUUCCACUACGCACGUAACUCAGCGUAUGUACACAGAGUUAUUUGAGGCAGUGCAGCGUAACGGACACAAAUAUUAAUGGAGUUAAAGGCUUAGCAAGUAACCGUGCAGAGUUACUGAUAAGACAGGUGGAGGGAGACACUAACACAGAAAGUGAGACUUUAACUUUUGGUGCCGUUCGACAAAACUCACAGCAAGCGAGAAGGGGAACAACUGGCUCGUCCACUCCAACAACACCCACCCACACACACACUCACACACACACAAAGUGAUAACAUGAAAUUUGCUAGAUUCUCUGGAGGUAUUUAUAAAGACACGCAGUCUGACCCUUAUUUCUCACCAUUAACUGUGAGAACGACACAUACAGUCCACCCGAAAGACGGGUAGAGGGUGUGAUGAGAGGAGAGAGAUGCACAUGAGAAAGUCCGUUUGUUGAAAUGUAUCGAGAUUAAGACACAGCCGUGUGAUCGCGCAAACACCUUGAUUGUGUGCUGCUGCGAUCACCUGCCGUCUGCCACCAUUACAAUCACAUGGUGUCGCUUCAGGGCAACAAAUUACAUCAUAAAGUCAGUUUGUGCCACCUGGAACAACACAUAGAGACGUCCGUUGCUCGGUGACCUCCACAAACUGUUACCCGCCACUGCCGAAGAGGAAAUACGCCUUUGUGAUCUGACACCGUUGUGGUUAAGGGCUCUCUUCGGUGAUAGGGUUAGUGCACGUGGAACCUUGGUUGCCAUGGCUACAUCGAUGACCAUGUUGGCGGGGAAACAACAACGGUCGUCGUUAAAAUAAGCCAUUGUUAAAUGUCAGUCGGAAACAGGAAACACGUGUUAAAAGUCGCGUCAUCCUCCUCGAACCUCCUGCUAAAGAAUUCUCAAACAAGCAACGUCAAAAUGAUCUAAAGCGUCAAUCAAAGUCUCUAAGGAGUCUUUAAAGAGCUUCCCGCCCCACUUGUGAGCUUCAGCACAUAGCGAUCUCAUAGCAUUUAUCAUGCCUAUCGCAUCGCUGUAGAGCCUUGGUCUUGUUUGUUUAGUUGGAAUCUCUAAACUGUAUUAUUUAUUUUGCUAUAUGUUCAUUGUAAACUGUUUUCACAAACACAGAACAUCCUCGCACGGGUCUGUUUAUCUCAAGCUUUUACAAACGAGGCCUUAUGCAAAUGACACAUUGAAAACGGUUUACUCACAUAAAAUACACCAAUCGAUUUGAAAACGCUGAGGCAAUCACUGACAUGAACGAUGAUGUGGGGCCUUUAAUUAAAGAACCUUUGGGGUACAUCCGUGGCUGUUACCGCGGUUACGCCAGUGGCUGAGAAUGGACUGUGAGUGGGCAGGGAAGGGGGCGGGCCGCUCUCUGCUUUACACUACAUUUAACAAGUAGUUAUAGCUGACUAAAAGGGUCCGUAAUCAAUGUUAUUUUGAGGAGAGUACCAGCAAGCGCACACUCCUCUGCUCUCCUCGUCUUCUUCUUCUUCUUCUCCUCGCCUUUCGUGUGUCCUCUCCUUGUCCCCAAUCACCCUGUCGCCUUUUUGCCUCCUCUCAGCGCUUAUUUCAUCAUUCUUUCGCCUCCUCAAAUUUCUCUUUGUGUCUUCCCUUUUUCUCCUUUAUUGUUCUCUUUUGUGAAGAAAUCAAUUGCCCCCCGUCCCUCUCUCUCCUUUGUCUUUAUCCCUGUCUUCUCUUCUUCUUGUCUCCGCCUGUGUAAUUACAAGAGUGCUACAGCGCCCAUCCGGAGGACAGCAUGCCAUUUACAACGGAUUGCAAAGAGCAUCUCAGCCUACACAUUAUCCCAGAUUGAUUUUUUUUUUACAAACACAUACACAAAUGCAUACGUGUGCGUGCUCAAGUUCUUAUGGAGACACACAUUAAGGCAUCCUGAUCUUAUAUUAGAAUAGCUAUAGACAACAGGGUAUGAAAAAUCAGCGUCGUCUGCUCUUCAAAAGGAAGAAUUGAAUGUCGUCGAUCUUCCUGCACACUUUUGUGUCCACCUGAACAUUUGUAACAACAUUAUUUGACAAAUAGGUCAAGACGCGUUGAGGAAGCAAUAACUAUACCAUCAAUUAAAUCAGCCAAAGAACUGAACUCCAUAUAAAUAGAUAUUUGUGGAGUGAUGGGAGGAAAUUAUUGGUUUAUUUAAACUCCUGAGCUUUAAAAGACCAACGUUAAUACCCGGGAACAAAUAAGUGGACAUAAAUAAAUAAUACAUUUAAAAACAAAUUAUUGACUUACUAUCAAGCCUGUAGGCUGCAUUGUAUGUGUAGUCUCAUGCUUUCUUGCUCAAUUAAAAUAAACUACGCAGAAAUCAAAACGUACCCUCCUUUCAGCUAUUAUCAUCUCAUCAUUGUAUAUACAAUGAUGAGAUAUAAAAAAAAGAGCCCUGUAAUUAUUUCUUUAGAGAGAAACACUGUUACGUUUGAACUUGAGCAUGAAGAAGGAUUUACUCUGCAUGCUUUGUUCCAAUGCUGCUGCUUUUGAAGCUUCCCCUUGUAAAAGGACAUCACGUGGCCGUGAGGUGCCAUUUUAAUGCACAUGGUGAAUUAGCUCCCCCUUCUGCUUCAUUUACAAGCUGCUUUUCUCACAUAGAAAUAUUUGUAGAUUUCCCUGGUAAAUAAUUUUCAGUAAAAUUAAAAAUUGUCAUUUCAUGAACCUUUAUUAAAAUAGAUAAUGUGAGAGUUACACAUGAAGAAUGUAAGACUCUAUGUAAUCGAUAUAGUGUUUAAUUUUCAGUUACUCUUUGGCCGUUUUAAGCAUGAAGCCCAAAAUCCCGGCCUACAAGAAACAUAAACAACAUCUUCGGACUAUCUAAUUUCCUGACGCUCCACUCAUGGUCAUUUCCUGUAAUUACAGCUCUCUCCAUAAACACAGCACACUGCCUGUGCCUGCUGCAGGCCAUCAAGAAACCUGCAACUUCUAAUACGAGUAUUACCUAAAUGUUACAAUAAAAACAAUUCAGACUGCAGAGGAAGAUAGCCCUCGUGGAAAAGCAGUACAUUAAAAACCCAUGUUAGUUUGAGGCUUAAACACUGAAGACGUGCUGAGAGGAAGUGGUUCUAACCACUGAAAUGAUAUACAAGCCUGCAAAGGGCUCCACAACCGAAGGCCUCAAGCAGCUAAACGGUGACAUUUAAGUAAGACGCUGAGGAUGCACACGGUUAACACUGUGGCCAAUGCACUACAAUGCCUGUGGGUGGGUUUCUGCGUCAGACAGCUUUUUGACAUCCGUCUGUGACGUAAAGGUUAAAAAUAUAUUCGCUAAUGUACAUUAACAAAAAAAUGCAUGUACUCUUUGAUUUUUUACUAUUCGAACUUUGAAAUAACUUGAAAUAACUUUAACCUUAAAUUCCAGUUACUGGUGUGUUUAACCUAAAAUCCCUCAGCACAGCUUCUCCAUUCAAGCCAUUGUGUGACUCGCGUGGUUAGAUAGGUGUGUUUUAUAACACACCCCUUCUUCCAAUAGCUACACUGCUUUUUGUGAUGAUGAACUUCAAAAUGAAAGUCUCUUACAAAGGGAAAAAACUAUCUCACCACAAAAGUAGUGGUUUAUAAUGUUUUGCGAGAAUAAAUCGGCGGCAACAAAGGAGACAACACUGUACAUAAUGAGUAAAUAUAGACAUCUUGUGUGUUAAAUGUGAGAGGAAGUGAAGGGGUACGUUUUUUCUGAGUAGGAGAGCAGGAAGCCACAGUUUUAUACAUGCAACGAAACAGCUCAGCUGAAAAUAAGAGGGUAUCAUACAUCA